AUUGAACGCUGGCGGCAUGCCUUACACAUGCAAGUCGAACGGUAACGGGCCUUCGGGCGCCGACGAGUGGCGAACGGGUGAGUAAUGCAUCGGAACGUGCCCAGUAGUGGGGGAUAGCCCGGCGAAAGCCGGGUUAAUACCGCAUGAGACCUGAGGGUGAAAGCGGGGGAUCGCAAGACCCCGCGCUACCGGAGCGGCCGAUGUCAGAUUAGCCAGUUGGUGGGGUAAAGGCCUACCAAGGCAACGAUCUGUAGUUGGUCUGAGAGGACGACCAGCCACACUGGGACUGAGACACGGCCCAGACUCCUACGGGAGGCAGCAGUGGGGAAUUUUGGACAAUGGGCGCAAGCCUGAUCCAGCAAUGCCGCGUGCAGGAAGAAGGCCUUCGGGUUGUAAACUGCUUUUGUCAGGGAAGAAAUCUUCUGGGUUAAUACCUCGGGAGGAUGACGGUACCUGAAGAAUAAGCACCGGCUAACUACGUGCCAGCCGCCGCCGUAA
rnacentral:rRNA from 1 species